CAGUGGGGAAUAUUGCACAAUGGGCGCAAGCCUGAUGCAGCCAUGCCGCGUGUGUGAAGAAGGCCUUCGGGUUGUAAAGUCACUUUCAGUUGUGAGGAAGGUGGUGUCGUUAAUAGCGGCAUCAUUUGACGUUAGCAACAGAAGAAGCACCGGCUAACUCCGUGCCAGCAGCCGCGGUAAUACGGAGGGUGCGAGCGUUAAUCGGAAUUACUGGGCGUAAAGCGCAUGCAGGUGGUUUGUUAAGUCAGAUGUGAAAGCCCGGGGCUCAACCUCGGAACUGCAUUUGAAACUGGCAGACUAGAGUACUGUAGAGGGGGUAGAAUUUCAGGUGUAGCGGUGAAAUGCGUAGAGAUCUGAAGGAAUACCGGUGGCGAAGGCGGCCCCCUGGACAGAUACUGACACUCAGAUGCGAAAGCGUGGGGAGCAAACAGGAUUAGAUACCCUGGUAG
rnacentral:rRNA from 1 species